AUGUUGGAUAAAGAAAUGAUAGAAAUAAGAGUAGUAUGCUGUUGCGAAUUCACACAUCGUUUAUCGUGUAAACACGAGAUUGGCGAGGUGAGAAACUACGCAGGUAGUUUAGUUGAUUCUUAAUGGCGUGUCGUUGGCUGUAGUUUGUUGCUUCGCUCGUUUGCAUCGAGUGAACACGAAACCACAGGACAGCUGUUCCCCGCUGUUUCUAGGGAGACUGCUCAUCAACCUGUUGCUCUCCGUCUUUUCUUCUGUCUCUCCCGUUAUGAUGCUCGCACCCUCUCAACAGCGGUAUGAGGUUACAGUUUAUGAUGUUCACUUGUUUGCUUUCGGUUAAUAAGUGCGCACACACAUUUCUUUUUCUCCUUUCUGUCCACGCACACAGACAGAUUCCCAUUUUACAAUAGUGUAGUGUGUGCAUUCCUGCCUCUCUCUCACACACACGCCCAUGUAACACCCUCCUCCUCCUCCUCCUCCUCCUCCCUCGGUUCAUUUUCCCUUCUGUCUGUCUCUUGAACCCUCACUGUUCUCUUGAGCUCCAUCUGUUUCUCUCUUCCCUUCAUCCCACAUGCACUUCUCUCACUCUCCUCCUCCUUAUGCUGUCUCUCUCUCUCUCUCUCUUUCUGUCUGUCUGUCUCCCUCUGUCUGUCUGUCUCUUUAAUUCUCUCUCUCUCGUCGCUUAUGAACACAAGAAUACUCUUGACAUGCUGGAGAUGAGUUUAAGUGGGCAUCUGGAGAGCCUCCUGUUUCCGCCUCCUCGUGUUGCUUUACUACCAUGAGCAGUUCCACUCCAUCCACAGCUAAUGGCACUGAUGAUAAAACGUAUAAAGGAGAACGAUCUCCUUGUGACCCCUCCCGUGUCCUCCACAUCCGCAGAGUUCCCAUCGAAGUGUCCGAGGCAGAGGUCAUCUCACUAGGAGUCCCUUUCGGCAAAGUCACCAACCUGUUGAUGCUUAAAGGGAAAAACC